GGUUCGAUCAUGGCUCAGAUUGAACGCUGGCGGGAUGCUUUUACACAUGCAAGUCGAACGGCAGCACGGACUUCGGUCUGGUGGCGAGUGGCGAACGGGUAGGUAAUGUAUCGGAACGUGCUGGCAGGGAUAACUGCAGCGUGUAGCCUAAUGCCGCAUGCGCCCUUCGGGGGAAAGCGGGGGGACCUUCGGGCCUCGCACUAUUAGAGCGGCCGAUAUCGGAUUAGCUAGUUGGUGGGAGUAACGGCUCACCAAGGCGGGCGAUAUCCGUAGCUGGUUUUGAGAGGACGACCAGCCACACUGGGACUGAGACACGGCCCAGACUCUCACGGGGAGGCAGCAGUGGGGGUGGACAAUGGGGAAACCCUGAUCAGCCAUCACGAUGUGCGAUGAAGGCCUUCGGGUUGUAAAGCACUUUUGGCAGGAAAGAAACGGCACGGGAUAAUACCCCGUGCAACUGACGUACCCACAGAAUAAGCACCGGCUAACUACGUGCCAGCAGCCGCGGUAAUACGUAGGGUGCAAGCGUUAAUCGGAAUUACUGGGCGUAAAGCGUGCGCAGGCGGUUCGGAAGAAAGAUGUGAAAUCCCAGAGCUUAACUUUGGAACUGCAUUUUUAACUACCGAGCUAGAGUGUGUCAGAGGAGGUGGAAUUCCCGCGUGUAGCAGUGAAAUGCGUAGAUAUGCGGAGGAACACCGAUAGCGAAGGCAGCCUCCUGGGAUAUACUGACGCUCAUGCGGCGUGGAACAGCAGGAUUGAUACCCUGGUGAUUACACCCUAAACGAUAUCGCUUCGCUGUUGGGGCGGAUUCGGACCUUGGUAACAGCUAACGCGUGAAGUUGACCGCCUGGAAAUACGGUCGCAAGAUUAAAACUCAAAGGAAUUGACGGGGACCCGCACAAGCGGUGGAUGAUGUGGAUUAAUUCGAUGCAACGCGAAAAACCACUCACCUUGACAUGUCUGGAAUCCCGAAGGGUGCGGAGUGCUCGCAAGAGGGCGGAACACAGGUGCUACGUGGCUGUCGUCAGCUCGUGUCGUGAGAUGUUGGGUUAAGUCCGCAACGAGCGCAACCCUUGUCAUUAGUUGCUACGAAGGGCCUCUAAUGAGACUGCCGGUGACAAACCGGAGGAGAGGAUGGGGAUGACGUCAAGUCCUCAUGGCCCUUAUGGGUAGGGCUUCACACGUCGCCCUGGUAAUUCAAGGACAGAGGGUCGCCAACCCGCGAGGGAGGGCCAAUCCCAGAAACCCGAUCGUAGUCCGGAUCGCAGUCUGCAACUCGACUGCGUGAAGUCAGAAUCGCUAGUAAUCAUAGCGGAUCAGCAUGUCGCGGUGGGUAAAUACGCGUUCCCGGGUCUUGUACACACCGCCCCGUCACACCAUGGGAGUGGGUUUACCAGAAGUAGUUAGCCUAACCGUAAGGAGGGCGAUUACCACGGUAGGAUUCAUGACAGGGUGAAGUCGUAACAAGGUAG
rnacentral:rRNA from 1 species